rnacentral:rRNA from 1 species
AUUGAACGCUGGCGGCAGGCCUAACACAUGCAAGUCGAGCGGAUGAAGGGAGCUUGCUCCUGCAUUCAGCGGCGGACGGGUGAGUAAUGCCUAGGAAUUUGCCUGGUUGUGGGGGAUAACGUCCGUAAACGGGCGCGAAUUCAGCAUACGUCCUGACGGCAAACGUGGGUGAUCUUCGGACCUCACGCUAUCACAUGAGCGCAGGUCGGAUUCGCUAGUUGGUGGGGUAAAGGCCUACCAAGGGGACGAUCCGUAACUGGUCUGAGAGGAUGAUCAGUCACACUGGAACUGAGACACGGUCCAGACUCCUACGGGAGGCAGCAGUGGGGAAUAUUGGACAAUGGGCGAAAGCCUGAUCCAGCCAAGCCGCGUGUGUGAAGAAGGUCUUCGGAUUGUAAAGCACUUUAAGUUGGGAGGAAGGGCAGUAAGUUAAUACCUUGCUGUUUUGACGGUACCCACAGAAUAAGCACCGGCUAACUUCGUG